CGUUUGAUGAGGAUGGUUUUAUUUUGCUGAGAAUUCUGCCACGAUCGUUUGACAUUCUGAUCGUUGAAUAUGGUUGACUGUAGUGCUGGGUACUUUUUAGAGAGGUCGUCGGGAGCCGUUGUCUGUAACUUCUCCCACCUGAAUGUGAACACGUACUUAGGUAACUUACAAGAUUAAAAUUAAUUUGGUUGCUGGUGGUUCUGAACCAAUAUGUACAGCUCUUUUACCCCAGGUGUAUCAUUUUGAAGACUGAGACAUUGGAGUUUUAACCCUAUGGAUAAAGAAAAUGGUUGGGGAAAGUCUAUUUUAUAUCGCAAAAAUGUGAAUCCCUAGACUGAUAAUCUAGAGGGCCUGUGCAGUACAGCAAACCUUGGGAGCACACCCAGUCAGCUUGAAGAGUCUCAAAAGGACCCUACCACUGAGAAACCAAGAUGGCAUCCACUAUGGGGAGUUGAGGAAAUGGAUUAAUACAAGAGUGCUGUGAUAAAAUACCACCAAGACAGGGUUCUUUUAACAUGGAUUCAGUGAAGUGAAUGAAACCUAUCUUACCCAAGAAAUGGACAGUGGAUUUGACUUUCUAAAGACUUUCAUAUCAUUUAUACUAGUUCAUUUUUGACAUUUGGAGAAGAAAGAUGGCACGCUAACACAAAUGAUAGUGUGUAUGCCUGAAUUUUUUUUUCAUGAUUUGCUUGAAUAUGACCUCAUGGAAUGUUAACUUCAAUAAAAUUUCUAACAUUUAAAACAUU